CCUACGGGAGGCAGCAGUGAGGAAUAUUGGUCAAUGGGCGCGAGCCUGAACCAGCCAAGUCGCGUGAAGGAUGACUGCCCUACGGGUUGUAAACUUCUUUUAUAAAGGAAUAAAGUGAGGCACGUGUGCCUUUUUGUAUGUACUUUAUGAAUAAGGAUCGGCUAACUCCGUGCCAGCAGCCGCGGUAAUACGGAGGAUCCGAGCGUUAUCCGGAUUUAUUGGGUUUAAAGGGUGCGUAGGUGGGUUGUUAAGUCAGUUGUGAAAGUUUGGGGCUCAACCCUAAAAAUGCCAUUGAUACUGGCAGUCUUGAGUACAGGUGAGGUAGGCGGAAUGCGGGGUGUAGCGGUGAAAUGCUUAGAUAUCACGAAGAACUCCGAUUGCGAAGGCAGCUUACUAGCCUGCCACUGACGUUGAUGCACGAAAGUGUGGGUAUCGAACAGGAUUAGAUACCCUGGUAGUC
rnacentral:rRNA from 1 species